AACUUUCAACAACGGAUCUCUUGGUUCUGGCAUCGAUGAAGAACGCAGCGAAAUGCGAUAAGUAAUGUGAAUUGCAGAAUUCAGUGAAUCAUCGAAUCUUUGAACGCAUAUUGCGCCCAGUAGUAUUCUACUGGGCAUGCCUAUUCGAGCGUCAUUUC
rnacentral:rRNA from 2 species